rnacentral:rRNA from 1 species
GACGAACGCUGGCGGCGUGCCUAAUACAUGCAAGUCGAGCGAAUUUUUUCUGGUUCUUGCACUAGAAAAACUUAGCGGCGAACGUGUGAGUAACACGUAAAGAACCUGCCUCAUAGACUGGGACAACUAUUGGAAACGAUAGCUAAUACCGGAUAACAGUAUUUCUCGCAUGAGAGAUAUUUAAAAGUUGGUUAUGCUAACACUAUGAGAUGGCUUUGCGGUGCAUUAGCUAGUUGGUGGGGUAAAGGCCCACCAAGGCGACGAUGCAUAGCCGACCUGAGAGGGUGAUCGGCCACACUGGAACUGAGACACGGCCCAGACUCCUACGGGAGGCAGCAGUAGGGAAUCUUCCGCAAUGGGCGAAAGCCUGACGGAGCAACGCCGCGUGAGUGAAGAAGGAUUUCGGUUCGUAAAGCUCUGUUGUUAGGGAAGAAUGGAUGUGUGGUAACUAUACAUGUAAGAGACGGUACCUAAACAGAAAGCCACGGCUAACUACGUG